CCGCUUUCCCCACGUGGCUGGCUCCUCUCCCACGCCUCUGCAUGUUGCCCUCGCCCUGUCGCCCUGACCUUGCCUCCUCCCUUCUCCGUGUCCUCGUUGUCUCCGCAUUAUCACACUUGUCCGACCCUGUCGCCACAUCUGCGCUGCAAAACUGUGGACGCCUUUGAAUGUGUGCGCCCUGUCGGUAUCUCCCCUGUUUUUGAGCUCUGUGGCGUGAGUGCCGGCCGCGGCCAAUUAAGCGAGAGUGAGCGAUCAAUUCACACAUAAGUUGCGGUCUCUCUGCGUGAGGGUGCCCACACUGUUUUGGGUUGCGGCGAAUUGGAUGAAUAUACAGCGGUGCAGUGAACCCACAUGAGGGAGAGCCACCCUGUUUGGACCUCAAGUUCUCUGUUUCGCAAAGGGUGUUGGAACUCGGAGCUUUGGACUUGCUCGCGUGUCGAUGCAUUAGCCUCAUCCGCUGGUCGCGUCAAUGAUGGUGAAAGUGUACACGCAUAAUCGUACGGUGGCGAUUGUGAGAGUCGUGUUGCUGUAGGAAUUCGACGAGGGGCGACCACUCGCAAGAGUUUUUCGCAACGAAGUCUUCGCUGUUGGUCGAAACUUCGAUUUUCUCCAACAGCAUUCUUAUAUCUUGAGGUAUUUGUCGAGGUCUACUUUAGUUGUCAUUUCUAUUCUUUUGAAAACACGUUGAUUUUGGUGUUCAUGUUCAAAAUUUUCUUCACAAAAUAGAACAAACUAAUGUGAAUAGCAAGUGACAAAAGUGUUGGGAGUGGUUUCAAUGCAUUUUUAAGUUGCAAUGUAACUUGUAUAUUGUUAGGGUGUGAAUAAUUAGGUCAUCGAAAUGUGAUUGACUUCCGAAUGAAAAAAACAUUGUAUGAAGUUAGUAGAGUUAAACGAUUGUAGAAGAGACUAAAAUAAUGUUUGAGGAUAAGGAAAAAUUAAAAAUAUAUUUUAUGGAAAUCUUAUAUAAUAAUUGUUAUGUUGUACAAAAUCAUAAUGUAAAUCUAUAAAGUAUGACUUUUUAUUAGUUUAUGUUAAA